rnacentral:rRNA from 1 species
ACUCCUACGGGAGGCAGCAGUGGGGAAUCUUGCGCAAUGGGCGAAAGCCUGACGCAGCAACGCCGCGUGCGGGAUGACGGCCUUAGGGUUGUAAACCGCUUUCGACAGGGACGAAAAUGACGGUACCUGUAGAAGAAGCCCCGGCCAACUACGUGCCAGCAGCCGCGGUAACACGUAGGGGGCGAGCGUUGUCCGGAUUUAUUGGGCGUAAAGAGCUCGUAGGCGGCUCAGUAAGUCAACUGUGAAAGCUCCAGGCUCAACCUGGAGAGGCCAGUUGAUACUGCUGUGGCUAGAGUCCGGUAGGGGAGCGUGGAAUUCCCGGUGUAGCGGUGGAAUGCGCAGAUAUCGGGAGGAACACCAGUGGCGAAGGCGGCGCUCUGGGCCGGAACUGACGCUGAGGAGCGAAAGCAUGGGUAGCAAACAGGAUUAGAUACCCCUGUAGUCC